GCAUAUCAAUAAGCGGAGGAAAAGAAACUAACAAGGAUUCCCCUAGUAACGGCGAGCGAAGCGGGAAGAGCUCAAAUUUGAAAGCUGGCACCUCCGGUGUCCGCGUUGUAAUCUCGAGACGUGUUUUCCGUGCGGCUCUAUGGACAAGUCCCUUGGAAUAGGGCAUCGUAGAGGGUGAGAAUCCCGUACUUGCCAUGGAAGAACCGUGCUUUGCGAUACACGCUCUAAGAGUCGAGUUGUUUGGGAUUGCAGCUCAAAAUGGGUGGUAGACUCCAUCUAAAGCUAAAUAUCGGGGAGAGACCGAUAGCGAACAAGUACCGUGAGGGAAAGAUGAAAAGCACUUUGGAAAGAGGGUUAAAAGUACGUGAAAUUGUCGAAAGGGAAGCACUUGAAGUCAGCCAUGCUGCUUGAGACUCAGCCUGGCCUUUGGGCUUGGUGUAUUUCUCGGUGGCAAGCCAGCAUUGGUUUGGGUCGUCGGAGAAGCGCAUAGGGAAUGUAGCGUUUCCGGACGUGUUAUAGCCUUAUGCAGGAUACGACGACCUGGAUCAAGGAACGCAGUGUGCCCUCUGGGCGGGUCUUCGGACACCUUCACACUUAGGAUGCUGGCGUAAUGGCUUUAAGUGGCCCGUCUUGAAACACGGACC
rnacentral:rRNA from 1 species